ensembl:lncRNA
CUCCACUGAAGAGCUGGUACAGAAGAUAUGCUGGUAAUAUGAGAAGGAGCUCUGACAUUCCAUCUCUGACAUAGAGCCUGUAUUCACCUCCCACUGGAAUGGAAUUAGUGAACAUGAAAUUUCAAGAGCUGACAUGAGAAAAAAUACACGUGAGAAAUGCAGGAAAUUAGUGAGAAAAGAAGAUGGCAAAACAAGGAUCGUGGUUCUACAACUAAUGCACUUCUGGAGACCAAGAACCUCUUUUCUGCAGUGGAAGUCUCUACAACUUACAUGCAACAAAGCACAUAAAAACUAGCAGCCUUUCUCAACAGUAGUUUGCAAACAGAAGAAGAUACUAAACCAUGAAUAUGUUAUCAGAUGUCUGUAUCAUAUAGAUUGUGUAUUGUGUGGUCAUACUGUGGUCUGAUGAAUGGUUGAAGCCUGUGAGACAAUCUGGAAUUUGCUGUCAUAGACAGUACUGAAGACCAUGCUGUACCAUCAGCAUUAUUUGCAGUGCCCAGGUUGGAAAGCUGUGCACCUCUGUGCAUCCUCGGCAAUCAGUAUUGAUGGGCACGAAUAACUUUUUGUUAUGUGCAUCUCAGUGCAAGAGGUAAACUUAACAAUGACUCCUUUGCAGCCAGAAAAUGUAUUUAGAGAGCAGACUGCAAGGAAAUACAUAUCUCCAUGUCUACACAGCACAAUAAUUAACAAAGUAGUGUUUAAUUAUAGUAUAAGGUAAAUGAACCGAUAGUUUAGAAGAGGAGAAACUGUCACUAUGAUUAUCAUAAUGACCUUGAAAGAUUUGGAAAUAUAUGAUUUUUUUGAACUUAUUACAGCAGUUGUAUGAUCAAUGGAAGAAUCAGAAUGGGGAUUUCCAGGGCAGCCUCAAUGAAUUUGCUGCAUGGUAUCAAAAAUCUUGUGUAUGUUUACACAACAAUGAAGAAUCUACACACAAUUAUUUCUCCUUGACAAAAUUAUGUAACAAUUUUUAUACCUGAAUAAUAUAACGUGUAUUUAAAAUUUGUUAUUACCUACAAAGCUCAAACAUGAAUUAUCAUGGAAAUGUAAAUUACACUGUUUAUCACUUUAUCUAGACGUACAUCCACUUUAACAAUUAUUUACUUAAUCAGCUUGUUAAUCAUUAUUAUAAUCUGUUGCUUUCUACUGACUGAGAUCAUUUAUAAAUGGAUUUUC